CGCUCGUGUUGCACAGCACCCAAGAGGGUCUGUGAAGGGUGUAAUCCCCAAACCAGGGCUUUGCCAUUACACACAGCUCAUUCCCGAUCCUCUCCCUGCCGGCAGCAGGGGGGGUACCGGGAAGGGAGGGAAGAGCGAUAAGGAGGCGUGGUCAUCCCCUCCGGGGGGCGGGGCUUUGUCGGUCCCCGUUUAAGGGCAGCGGAGCGGGGAGAGCCCCGUAACCCCCGUUAGAUCCUCGCAUCCCGUUCGGCUCCGGAUGUUUGAACUGGCAGAGGGAAGAGCAGUCUGCGGUGACAGGAAAGCAGUGGGACCCCUCACUGGUGCUACCUCGGAAGGGCUUGCAGCAUCAUUGCUUUUAGGCAAAGCUUCUUUGCUUGGCCACACAGCCUCACUUGUCAAUUAUAUGUUCCUUCUUCAUACUGACCAUAGCUGCCUGGAGGUCCAGGCAGAGGAAGAAAGCUUCAGUGUGCAGAAGAAAUCAUUCCAGCCUCUUUAUCUCAAAUCUCUUGGUGUGGUUUUUCUGUCUUUUCUAACAUCUGAGAAAAACCUGAUGUACAAUAAUACCCUGGCCUGACAUUCAUCACCAGGCAGAAGCAGUGCCCCAGCCAGCCAACAUGACAGUGCUGUUUGAUAACUUGUCAUGCCAUCACUCCAUCGAUGACUUCCGAAACAAGGUCUAUUCCACACUCUACUCCAUGAUCAGCAUUAUAGGCUUUGUUGGCAAUGGGUUUGUGCUCUACGUCCUCAUAAGGACAUACCGGCAAAAGACAGCCUUUCAGGUGUACAUGCUGAACCUUGCUGUGUCUGACUUCCUCUGCGUGGC
rnacentral:lncRNA from 14 species